rnacentral:rRNA from 1 species
CCCUUAGAUGUUCUGGGCCGCACGCGCGCUACACUGACGGAGCCAGCGAGUAUAAACCUUGGCCGAGAGGUCUGGGAAAUCUUGUGAAACUCCGUCGUGCUGGGGAUAGAGCAUUGUAAUUAUUGUUCUUCAACGAGGAAUUCCUAGUAAGCGCAAGUCAUCAGCUUGCGUUGAUUACGUCCCUGCCCUUUGUACACACCGCCCGUCGCUACUACCGAUUGAAUGGCUUAGUGAGGCUUCCGGAUUGGUUUAGAGAAGGGGGCAACUCCAUCUUGGAACCGAGAAGCUAGUCAAACUUGGUCAUUUAGAGGAAGUAAAAGUCGUAACA